GCCCCCGACUGCUCCAUCGUAGCGCGGAUGAGCCGGACGACAAGCGCCUGCGUCCCGAUGAAGCCGGGGGGCUCCUGACCCCCCUCAACUUCUCCAGCACCGGGGCGGACGCGGGCGGCAGCCCCUCCACCUACAGUUACUGGUACCAGCAAGGCUACGGCACCUACAACUACCAGACGCCAUGGAGCUACAACCAGUACUACUCACAGAGCUGAGCCCCCCAACCCCC